rnacentral:rRNA from 1 species
GACGAACGCUGGCGGCGUGCUUAACACAUGCGAGUCGAACGGAAAGGCCCUGCUUUUGUGGGGUGCUCGAGUGGCGAACGGGUGAGUAACACGUGAGUAACCUGCCCUUGACUUUGGGAUAACUUCAGGAAACUGGGGCUAAUACCGGAUAGGAGCUCCUGCUGCAUGGUGGGGGGUGGAAAGUUUCGGCGGUUGGGGAUGGACUCGCGGCUUAUCAGCUUGUUGGUGGGGUAGUGGCUUACCAAGGCUUUGACGGGUAGCCGGCCUGGGAGGGUGACCGGCACCAUUGGGCCUGGGAUCCGACCCGGACGCACGAGGGGGCAAGCGGUGGGGACUUUUCCCAAUGGGGCGGAGGCGUGGUGGAGCACCCCCGGGUUGGGAAUGCCGGCUUUUGGGUUGUAAACCGCUUUGGCUUUUGACCAGGCGUGCGUGACGGAAAUGGAGAAAAAACGCCCGCCUACCUCCUG